rnacentral:lncRNA from 1 species
UGAGAAUGUGUUUCUAAGUCAUUAACUACUAUUUUUCAGCAUCAUUUUAUUUUUAUUUAGGUAACAUUGGUUUAUAACAUUAUAUAGAUUUCAGAUGUACAACAUUAUAAUUCAGCAUCUAUAUACACUACAGCUUGCUCACCACCAAAAGUCUAGUUUCCAUCUGUCACCAUACAAUUGACCCCCUUUACCCAUUUCACCCACCCCGCAACCCCUUUCUCUUUUGGUUACCACAAAUCUAUUGUCUAUAUCUGUGAAUUUCUUUUUGUUUUGUUUUGUUCAUUUAUUUAUCUUCCACAUAUGAGUGAGAUCAUAUAAUAUUUGUCUUUCUCUGACUUAUUUCACUUAGCAUAAUACCCAUAAGGUCCAUCCAUGUUGUUGCAAAUGGCAAGAUUUCAUCUUUUUUAUGACUAACAUUACAUUGUGUGUAUAUAUAUAUAUAUAUAUAUAUAUACCACAUCUUCUUUAUCCAUUCAUCUGUCAAUGGACAUUUAAGUUGUUUCCAUAUCUUGGCUGUUGUGAAUGAUGCUGCAGUGAGCUUAGGAAUGCAUAUAUCUUUUCAAAUUAGUGUUUUCAUAUUCUUUGGAUAAAUACCCAGAAGUGGAAUAGUUGAAUCAUAUGGUGGUUCUAGUCUUAAUUUUUUGAGAAGUCUCCAUACUGUUUUCCAUAGUGGCUGCACCAAUUUACAUUCCCACCGCCAGUGUACGAGGGAUUCCUUUUUCUCUGCAUUCUCUCCAGCACUUGUUAUUUCUUGGCUUUUUGACAAUACCCAUUCUAACAGGUGUGAGGUGAUAUUUCAUUGUGAUUUUGAUUUGCAUCCCCCUAAUAAUUAGUGAUGUUGAACAUCUUUUCAUUUGCCUGUUGGCCAUCUGUAUGUCUUCUUUGGAAAAUUUACUUUUCAAAUCCUCUACUUGUUCUUUUGUUUGUUUUUUGGGGUUUUUUUUGAGGAAAUUAGCCCUGAGCUAACAUCCACCACCAAUCUUCCUCUUUUUGCUGAGGAAGAUUGGCCCUGAGCUAACAUCUGUGCCCGUCUUCCUCUACUUUAUUUGUGAAACACCUGUCACAGCAUGGCUUGAUAAGCAGUACAUAGGUCCACGCGUGGGAUCCGAACUAGCGAACCCUGGACCACUGAAGCAGAGUGUGCGAACUUAACCAGUACACCACUGGGCCGGCCCUUUUCUGCCCAUUUUUUAAUCAGGUUAUUUGCUUUUUUUCUUGUUGAGUUGAGUGGGUUAUUUAUAUAUUUUGGAUAUUAACUGCUUAUCAGAUAUAUGGUUUCCAAAUAUCUUCUCCCGUUCAGUGGGUUGUCUUUUCGUUUUUUGAUGGUUUCCUUUGCUGUGCAGAAGCUUUUUAGUUUGAUGUAGUCUCAUUUAUUUUCGCUUUUGUUUCCCUUGCCGUUGGAGUCAAAUCCACACAAACAUUGCUAAGACCAAUGUCAAGGAUCUUAUGGCCUAUGUUCCCUUUUUCUUUCUUUCUUUCUUUUUUUGGUCUGAGGAAGAUUGGCCCUGAGCUAACAUCUGCUGCCAAUCUUCCUCUUUCUGUAUUUGAGCUGCCACCACAGCACGGCCAUUGACAUACGAGUGGUGUAAGUCUGCGCCUGGAAACUGAAUGCAGGCCAUUGAAGCAGAGCACACCAAACUUAACCACUAGUCCACUGGGGCUUGGCCUAUGUUUUCUUCUAUGUGUUUUAUGGUUUCAGGACUUGCAUUCAAGUCUUUAAUCCACUUGAGUUAAUUUUUGUGUAUGGUGUAAGAUAGUGGUCUAGUUUCAUUCUUUUGCAUGUGGCUGUCCAGUUUUCCCACCACCAUUUAUUGAAGAGACUUUACUUGCUCUGUUGUAUGUUCUUGGCUCCUUUGCUGUAAAUUAGUUGUCCAUAUAUGUGUGGGCUUAUUUCUGGGCUCUCAAUUCUGUUCCAUUGAUCUGUGUCUGUUUUUCUGCCAAUACCAUACUGUUUUGAUUACUAUAGCUUUGUAGUAUGUUUUGAAAUCAGGAAAUGUGAUGCUUCUGGCUUUGUUCUUUUUUCUCAAGAGUUCUUUGGCUAUUGGGGAUCUUUUGUGGUUCCAUACAAAUUUUAGGACUUUUUGUUUUCUUUCUGUGAAAAAUGCCAUCCGGAUUUUGAUAGGGAUUGCAUUGAAUCUGUAGAUUGCUUUAGGUAAUAUGGACAUUUUAACAGUGUUAAUUCUUCCAAUUCAUGAGUAUGGAAUAUUUUUUCAUUUCUUUCUAUUUUCUUCAGUUUCUUUCAACAAUGUACAGUUUUCAGUGUACAAGUCUUUAACCUCCUCAGUUAAAUUUAUUCCAAGGUAUUUUAUUCUUUUUGUUGAGAUUGUCAGUGAAAUUGUUUUCUUAAUUUCUCUUUCUGAUAGUUCAUUGUUAGUGUAUAGAAUGCAAGAGAUUUUUAUAUAUUGAUUUUGUACCCUGCAGCUUUACUGUGUUUGUUUAUCAUUUCUAAUUCUUUUUUUGUGGAGUCAUUAGGGUUUUCGUCAUCUGUAAAUAGUGACAGUUUUGCUUCUUUUUUCCAAUUUGAAUGCCAUUUAUUUCUUUUUCUUGCCUAGUUGCUCUGACUAGGACUAGGACUACGACUAAUACUGUGUUGAAUAAAAGUAGUGACAGUGGGCACUUGUCUUCUUCCUAAUCUUAGGUGAAAAGCUUUUAGUUUUUAACCAUUGAGUAUGAUUUAGCUGUGUGUAUGUCAGAUGUAGUCUUUAAUAUGCCGAGUGACUUUCUUUCUAUACCCAUUUUAUUUAGAGUUUUUAUCAUAAAUGGCUGUUGAAUUUUAUCAAAUGCCUUUUCUGCAUGUAUUGAGAGGAUCAUAUGGUUUUUUUCUUCUUCUCCUCCUCCUCUUCCACUCCCCCUUCCCCUCUUCCUUCUCCUCCUUUCCACCCCCAAAGCCCCCAGUACAUAGUUGUAUGUUCUAGUUGUAGGUCCUUCCGGUUGUGCUAUGAUCAUAUGGUUUUUAUCCUUCACUUUGUUAACGUAUCACAUUGGUUGAUUUGUGGAUGUUGAAUCAUCCUUGCAUCCCUGGAAUAAAUCCCACAUGAUCAUGGUGUGCGAUCCUUUUAUUGUAUUUGGCUUGCUAAUGUUUUACUGAGGAUUUUUGCAUGUAUGUUCAUCAGAAAUAAUGGCCUGUAAUUUUGUUUAUGUAUGUGUGUUGUCCUUGUCUGAUUUUGUUAUCAGGGUAAUGUUGGCCUCGUAAAAUGAUUUAGGAAGCAUUCUCUCCUCUUCAAUUUUUUGGAAGAGUUUAAGGAUAGGUAUUAAAUCUUCUUUGAAUGUUUGGUAGAAUUUACUAGUGAAGCUGUCUGGUCCUGGACUUUUGUUUUUUGGGAGGUUUUUGAUUCCUGUUUCAAUCUCCUUUUUUUGAUUCCUGUUUCAAUCUCCUUACUAUUCAUCAGUCUAUUCAGAUUUUCUAUUUCUUUAUGAUUUAGUCUUGGAAUGUUGUAUGAUUCCAAGAAUUAAUGCAUUUCUUCUAGAUUAUCCAAUUUGAUGGCAUGUAGCUGUUCAUAGUAGUCUCUUAUGAUCCUUUGUAUUUCUGUGGUAUCCAUUGCAACUUCUCCUCUUUCUUUUUUUCUUUUUCUUUUUUUUUGAGGAAGAUUAGCCCUGAGCUAACUACUGCCAAUCCUCUUCUUUUUGCUGAGGAAGACUGGCCCUGAGCUAACAUCUGUGCCCAUCUUCCGCUACUUUAUACAUGGGACGCCUACCACAGCAUGGGUUUUGCCAAGCAGUGCCAUGUCUGCACCUGGGAUCCGAACUGGCGAACCCCAGGUCGCUGAGAAGUGGAACGUAUGAACUUAACCACUGUGCAACCGGGCAGCCCCUCCUCUUUCAUUUUUUAUUUUAUUUAUUUGAGCCUUCUCUCUUGUUUUGUUAGUGACUCUAGCCAAAGGUUGUCAGUUUUGUUUAUCUUUUCAAAGAACCAGGUGUUAGUGUCAUUGAUCUUUUCUGUAUCUUUUUAGUCUCUAUUUUAUUUAUUUCUGCUCUGAUUUUAAUUAUUGCCUUCCUUCUACUGACUUUGGGCUUCACGUUUUCUCCUUUUUCUAGUUCCUUUAGGUGUAAAUUUAGAUUGUUUAUUUGAGAUUUUUCUUGUUUCUUGAGGUAGGCCUUUAUUGCUAUAAACUUCCCUCUUAGUACCAUGUUUGCUGCAUCCCAUAGAUUUUGGUAUGUUGUAUUUUCAUUUUCAUUUGUCUCCAAGUAGUUUUUUUUUUUUUUUUAAAGAUUUUAUUUUUUUCCUUUUUCUCCCCAAAGCCCCCCAGUACAUAGUUGUAUAAUCUUCAUUGUGGAUCCUUCUAGUUGUGGCAUGUGGGAUGCUGCCUCAGUGUGGCUUGAUGAGCAGUGCCUUGUCCAUGCCCAGGAUUUGAACCAACAAAACACUGGGCCGCCUGCAGUGGAGCAUGCGAACUUAACCACUCAGCCAUGGGGCCAGCCCCCUCCAGGUAGUUUUUCAUUUCUCUUUAGAUUCCUUCAUUGAACAGUAGUUGUUCAGCAGCAUGUUGUUUAAUCUCCACAUAUUUGUGAUUUUCCCAGCUUUCUUCUUGUACUUGAUUUUUGGUUUCAUACCAUUGUAGUCAGAAAAGACAGUUAAUAGGAUUUCAGUAUUCUUAAAUUUAUUGAGACUUGGUUUAUAUCUCAACAUGUGGACUCUCCUUGAGAAUGUUCCACAUCCACUUGAGACGAAUUUGUAUUCUUCUGCUUUUGGAUGGAUAGUUCUGUAUGUAUCUAUUAAGUCCAUCUGGUCUAAUCUGUCAUUUAAGGCCAAUGUUUCUUUGUCAACUUUCUGUCAGGAUGAUCUAGUCACUGAUGUAAGUGGGGUGUUAAAGACCACUACUUUUAUUUGUGUUACUGUCAAUUUCUUCCUUUAGGUCUGCUAGUAAUUGCUUGAUGUAUUCUGGUACUCCUACGUUUGGUGCAUAUGUUUUAAUAACUAUUAUGUCUUCUUGAUAGAUUGUUCCCUUUUUCAUUAUAUAAUGUCCAUAUUUGUCUCUUGUUAUCCUUUUUGGCUCUAUUUUGUCUGUUAUGAGUAUGGCUACACCUGCUUUAUUUUGGCUACCAUUUGUUUGGAGUAUCAUCCCUCCUGUUUGAGGCUAUGCUUGUCUUUAGAGCUAAGAUGAGUCUCUUGAAAGGCAGUAUAUUUUUUAAUCCAGCCAGCCUCUCUGUGCCUUUUGACUGCUGAGUUCCAUCCAUUUACAGUUAGGGCGAUAAUAGAUAUACGAAGACUUACUACUGCCAUUUUAUCUUUUGUUUUCUGAUUGCUCUGUCUGCACUGUUUCUUUUCUCUUAUGUUUCUGUCUACCAUAGUAGUUUGGUGGGUUUCUAUGCUGUUUUUCUCAGCUUCCUCUUUUUUUGUGUUUUGUGUCUCUGCUCUAGAUUUUUAUUUUGUGGUUACCAUGAGGUUUAUAUAAAACAUCUCACAGAUAAAAUACUCCUUUUUCUGCUGAUAGCAUCUUAUCUUCAUUUGCCUGUACGAGUUCUGUCCUUUUUCUCCUCCCCUUUUGUGUUUUUGUUGUCACAAAUUAUUCCUUUUUCUGUUGUGAGUUUGUUACCAAAUUGAAGUAUAGUUAAUUUUAAUGUUUUUUCCCUUUAACCUUUAUGCUAUAAUUGCUUAACACCCUAUUCUGAAAUAGAGUUGCAAUUUCCUGGUUCUGUCCAUCUAUUUACUCCUUACUCAAAGUUUUGUGUACUUUUUGCCUUUUGUUUCAGGUAGAAGAGCUCCUUUCAGCAUUUUUUGUAAGGUGGGUUUAGUGGUGGUGAAUCUCUCAGCUUUUGUUUGUCUGGAAAAGUCUUUAUUUCUUCUUCAUAUCUGAAAGAUAACUUUGCUGGAUAGAGUAUUCUUGGCUAGCAGUUUUUGUCUUUAAAUUUUUUUUUUUUGAGGAAGAUUGGUGCUGAGCUAACAUGUGCUGUCAAUCCUCCUCUUUUUUGCUGAAGAAGACUGGCCCUGAGCUAACAUCUGUGCCCAUCUUCCUCUAAUUUAUAUGUGGGACGCCUGUCAUGGCAUGACUUGAUAAGUGAUGCUGGGUCUGCACCUGGGAUCUGAACUGGUGAACCCUAGGCUGCUGAAGCAGAAUGUGCGAACUUAAUUGCUGCAUCCACAGGCUGGCCCCCAAAUACAUUUCAUUCACUCCUGGCCUGUAGAGUUUCUGCUGAGAAAUCUUCUGAUAACCUAAUGGGGGUUCUUUUGUAGGAUACUGGUUUUUUCUCCCUGGUUGCCUUUAAAAUUCUUUCUUUCUCAUUGACUUUUGACAGUUUAAUAUAAUGUAUCUUGGAGAAGGCCUUUUUGGAUUGAGAUAAUUAGGUGUUCUGUUAUCUUUGUUGAUUUGUAUAUCUAGUUUCUUCCUCAGGUUUGGGAAGAUCUUAGCCAUUAUUUCUUUGAAUAAGCUGUCUGCUUCCUUCUCCCUCUCUUCUCCUUCUGGGAUAUCCAUUAUCCUUAUGUUGCCUUUUCUAAUGAAGUUGGAUAGUUAUCUUAGAGUUUCUUUAUUUUUAAAAAAUCUUAGUUCUCUCUCUUCUUCCACCUGAAUCAUUUCUAGAUUUCUAUCUUUGAGCUCGAUAAUUCUCUCUUCUUGUGGUCUGCUCUAUUUCCAAAGAUUUCUAAUGCAUUCUUCAUCUCAUUUAUUGAGUUCUUCAGCUCCAGAAUUUCUGUUUGGUUCUUUUUUAGAGUUUCAGUCUCUGGUAAAGUACUACUUCUGUUCAUUAAUUUUAUUCAUGAGUUUGUUGAACUGCCCUUCUGAUUUUUUUUUUAGCUUUGUUGAGUUUCUUCAUGACAGCUAUUUUGAAUUCUCUGUCACAUCACAAUCUUCCAUUACGUUGUUUGGUUUUUGGAGAAUUGUCAUUUUCUUUUUGUGAUACUAUGUUACCACAGUUUUUCACGGUGCAUGGUGAGUUCUUCCUCUACUGGUGCAUUUGAAGUUGCAAACACCUUUCUUAUUUAUGUAAAGCUUUAUUUACUUUGAUUCUAACAAUUCAAUAGAUUGGUAAUUAGAGACCUUUCUUUUGUUUUCCUCUAGGUGGUGCUAUCGCAUGAGUUUUUGGUUUCUCUUAUGUGAGCUGCCUCUGGCUAUAUUUGUGAGCAGGCACUUUUCACCCUCUACUCCCUCUGUCAGAGAUGUCACUGGUGCCCUUAUUGUCACUGCUUGGGCCUCCAGAGGUGCUGGCACCUUGCUGCUGCUGGUGCCACUGUGGAUGCAAGAGUCACCACCAGGGUCACCAGGAUGGCAGAUGUACAAUGUGUGGAUCCCUCUGGCAUCCUGGUGUGCUGAGCAGAGGGAACUUUGUUGAGUUAUAAACAUCCCACUAGUUGUAGAUUGAAGAGGACCAACAAAGGAAGCGUCUCAUGCUGCCAUGAUGCCGAUAUGACUCCAUAAAUCUUUUCAGUGUCAUUUUUAAUAGAGGUCCAAUGUUCCACUGGGUGAACAGAUCGUAAUUUAUUUAACAAUUUCCUGUUGUUAAAUAUUUGUAUUGUUUUAGUAAGCAACAUACAAUAAGCAUAAAUAGAUAUGCUUUUUAAAGACUCUUAUCUUUUAAUGUGUGUUCAUCUGUUUUCGUCUAGACUUCAUUCUAGAUUCUAGUUCUGCAGUGAGAUUUGCCAAAAUUUAAAUUGCAGAACUGUGGGAUGUUACCCUUGGUUCAUUAUAUCUUUCAUUCAUUUAUCCAACAAAUAUUUAUUGACUGCCAACUCUGUGCCAGGCCGUGUGCUAGGUACUCAGGAUACAAUGAUGAAGAAGAUAGAGGUGGUCCUUGUUCUGGAGCAGUUUAGUUUUAUAUGGGAGAAACACAAUAAGUAAUGAUGAAAAGUUAGAUAAGUGUCGUUAUAGAGGAAUUGUAAGCAUCCAAGGGAGCACAUGAGAGAGGUAAUUAUUCUAGACUCUGGAGGAGGGGUGGUUAAGGGGAAAGUGUUCUCAUUGCAUGAGAAUUCCCUGUGCCAUACAUUCUCAUAGUUGGAAAUGACUUAAAACGUCAUUUAGUUCAAACCUCAUUUGCUGCUGGAAUUCUCUGUAUCAAGUGGUAAUUGAUCCAAUAGCAUAGAGCUUUGCAGUAUGGUCAGUGGAUUUAGACCACCUGGAUUUGAGUCCUGGCUCUCCUCAUUUACUAUCUGCAUGUGUUAUUUUGGGCAGGUUGCUUAAAAUCCAUGUGCCUGUUUCAUCUGUAAAAUUGGAUAAUAGUAGUAUCUACUUAAAAGUGCUGUUGUGAUAGGCUAUUUAAUAUAGAGAAUGCACUUAAAAGAAUGUCUGACACACAGUAUACAUGCAGUUCAUGCAUACUCAUUCAUGCCGUGGUCAUGUUGAUAGGGAUCUCACUGUCCACUGAAACAUUUGGAUUGUUAGAAAAUCAUUCUUCAUGAUAGGCUGAGAUUGGGCCCCUGUAGCUUUUACCUGGAAAAUGUUCCUACCUGAAAAAAUGGAAGCAAUUUCAGGGAGGCAGAUUCCAGUUCAAUUUAAUGAAGGAUUGUCCAACUUUUAGAGCUGUCUAAAAGAAAUGGACUGCCUCAGGAGGGGCAAUUUUCACAAGUUAAAAUAACCACACACUUUCGUGGUUUGGAUAAAAUCCAAAAUAGCAGAUUUCAGAGCUUAUCUAUACUACAAGUGGACUCUGAAAUGCAUUUGGAAAGCAUGUGAACACAGACACAUUAAACUUUGAUUUUGUACUGUAGUGACACUGUCAUUGGCAAACCCAACUUGAAAUUACAGAUUUGCGUCAGCACAUGAGCACAUUAUCUUGCACUGAAUUCCACAAAGGGAUCAGUAUUCCCACCAUGCUCAGAUUAAACUUGGCUCUGUGACAGAGAAUCAGUGACCACGCUCCUUCGGUACAUCAGUCAGUCAAUAUUAGUGGUGAAAUUUAGAUUAUGACAUUGGCAAUCAAAACCAGCCUUCUAUCAGAGAUUCUUCGAAAUAUUUCUCCUACAAUGAAGAGACCUUAAAAACAAGACAAAAGGAACUAUGCUACAUUUUGUUAAGCUUGUUACCAAGACUUAAGUGAAAUAAAUAUUCUUACAACUGAGAUUCUUACCAUGGGUUUCCUAGUGUGAAAGGUUUCUGACAGAUUUUGGACUAAUGCAAACAACUAUGCUUUGAAACAGAGUUUAAGUGGGGACUGAUGUAUGCUUAUCAGUUUUGAAUGGAUUUACAAUUCAUGAAACCUUUAGAUGACAGAAAAGAAUGACUACUGCGUGAGUCACCUUGGUGAAGGUCACAGUUAUAACCAAGAGAGGCCAACAGUACAUCAAGGCUUUGAAUGGAGCCUAGCAGGAGCCCACUGCUACUGCUGCAGUGGCCAUUUGGAAACAGGAAGAGACUGACCCGACGCCCAGUCUCUUAUCUCUUCUUGUAUGGUAUUUUUAUGUCCUUCAAGAUAUAAUCUGUUGUAUAACUGAGCAGUUCAUUCUUUGAGGAUAUUACUCAAGUUGGAUUAUUUCUAGGGUCAAACUAUUAUAAUACCAGGGAACUAUGUAGAGAUUUACAUUUGAAAAUUAGAAGUGGUGUCAUGUGGGAUAGUGUUAUAAUACGUUGUAGGGGGUUUUUUCGUUUAAAAAAUGUUUGGCUCCUCUACUUUUAGAUGAGUUUACCAACUUUGAAGGGGCAAUUUCUUUGGCUCAUUUGAACUCAGAACUGACUUCCUUAACCUUUUGAAACCACUUCUCUUUUCUCAGUGAAGGUCAACAUCAUCUACCAGCCACCCAGGCUCAAAUCUGAGUCUCAAAACUGCAGUGUCUCAGGACUGGAAGGGACCUUAAAGGGUUCUUAGUUCAGUCACCGAUUUGAUACUUAAAGGCUUUACCACCAUCUAAUUUGUGAUUCCCAAAGAAUCUGAGUACUUACCCGGUACCAGGCACUAUAUUCAUUCUACUGAAUAAUCAUUUCUGCCGGAUAUUGAACACCUCUGGGAAGAAAGAAGAUGUACUCAUAACAAGGUGCAGCCUGCUCUGGUGGAAGAGACAGCUGAGAACGUUUUAAUAUGAUGUAGUGAGUGCUUUUCAGGGGUGAUGCAGAGAGGGAGGGUGCCUAGCCCAGAGGAGGCUCCAGGAAGGGAGUUAGGGCCUGCUUUCUAGAGUAGGGGACAUUAGCACUGAGUGUUAAAGGAUGUAUAGGAGUGACCCAGGCAUCUGGCAAAUGUGUGUUCCAGGCAAGGAAACUGCAAAGGCAAAAUCCCAGAGGGACCACAUGUAUCUCUCUCAAUCUUGGUUUCCCCAUUUGUGAUAGUGUAUACUUUGCAGGAGUGUUGUACGGAAUAAAUGAGAGAAUAUUUAUCUUUAUAAAAGAUAUAGUAAGCGC